UACGGGGGGAGCAAGCGUUGUUCGGAUUUAUUGGGCGUAAAGAGCUCGUAGGCGGCUCGUUGCGUCGGCUGUGAAAACCCGCAGCUCAACUGUGGGCUUGCAGCCGAUACGGGCGGGCUGGGAUUCGGUAGGGGAGACUGGAAUUCCUGGUGUAGCGGUGAAAUGCGCAGAUAUCAGGAGGAACACCGGUGGCGAAGGCAGGUCUCUGGGCCGAUAUCGACGCUGAGGAGCGAAAGCGUGGGGAGCGAACAGG
rnacentral:rRNA from 1 species